CUAUUAAGUAUUAAAAUUAAAUUGUCAAUAGGUCCGCAUAGAUUUUAAUAGGGAUUUGUACAUGAGUAGUUUAAUGUUUGAGUUAGCGUUUAUUGUUCAUAAGGAGUGUCUUGAGCAUGCACAGCUUAGUAUUUAACUUAAAGUAGUUUUAAUAUGAUGUGCCCAGGUCAGACUGCUGUCGAGUGUUAGUCCGAGAUGUUUAACCGUAGGCGAUGAAGGGACUUGGACAUCAUAAACAGUUACAGAACUGGACAUUGUGCUUGUUUAAGAGUGAAGCCUAAAAUUCAAACAAAAUACACAUGAACUAGUACUCUUUUUUGGUGCCAUUAUCCCAAAAAUAAUUUUAUAAAAAAAAAUAAAACAGUUACAAUAACUAAUGUCAAUCCAAAGUUGUUGUUAUUAAGUUGGAAAAUUGGAAUUCGAAGCUUAAAAACAAAUGAUCAUAUUAUCACAGAAUCAAAGAAUUAGAAAUCUUUCUUUGAUAAUAAGUUUGAGACAAUAACCACGGUAAUGAAAAUGCUAAUACAAAUAUCACAAAGUAGCACAAUU